rnacentral:lncRNA from 1 species
AUUGCCUCACAUACUGAUACAAAUCUAGGAGAUUGGUCUUCUCUGGACACCUGCUGCGACACUAAGUACUAUUUCACUUUUCCCUUUUAAAUUUUCAGUGAGAAUGAACACAAGGGCAUAUGCAAAGAGGUGAAUUACAUUUUGGGCAUAUGUUCAUGUACUAUUUAGGCUCAGAAUUAUUUUUAGCAGUUUUUUUGACAUUCUUCCACACGGACCUGCCUGUUACAGUAUUAUUUUUUAUGAGAAAAUAAUGCAACUUUUGAACUAAGCCUAUAAUCAUCAACCUCUGCCUACUGUAAGUUUGAGCUCUACAUUGGAGUUGCUUUGAUUGACUAUCAAUUAGCAUGCACCUCUGAAUGCAACCGUGAUGGCGGGUCGUUCGAAGAAAACAUUUAUGGAUGAAUAGAUGAUUGCUUUCACACGAUAAAACUGUUGAAUUGUUUGGGUAUGUAUUUUCUAAAGAAAAAAGGUGGGAUUUCCACUAAAAGCCAUAAUAGUUCUGUUGAGGUCUUCUUGCUGUGUGUCACCACUUUUGGUUGAAUUUAAAAUUUACCUGCAAGUAAUUCAUUUGCAUGUGCAUGAACUUUUUGCAUAUGGUGCCUGAUGUUUCAUCUUGUUGCAGUGCUGAUUCUAUAUCUCGAGCAAAGCAGAUUCUUACCUCGAUGCAUGGAAGAGCAAGAGGAGCAUACGGCCAUAGCCACUUAUUAUUGCCUCACAUACUGAUACAAAUCUAGGAGAUUGGUCUUUUCUGGAAACCUGCUGCGACACUAAGUACUACUCCCUCCGUUCCAAAUUACUCGUCGCAGAAAUGGAUGUAUCUAGAACUAAAAUACAUCUAGAUACAUCCAUACCUGCGACAAGUAAUUCGGAACGGAGGGAGUAUUUCACUGUUUCCUUUUAAAUUUUCAGUGAGAAUGAACACAAGGGCAUAUGCUUUGUUGGGUGACAUUCAUUUACUUGCUUUAUAUCAUAGGAACUGGAGUUCAAGAAGCAACACUACUGAGCUUGAUUUCUCCUGUUACCUUGCAAAGAGGUGAAUUACAUUUUGGGCAUAUGUUCAUGUGUUACUAUUCUUGAUUGGAGCUUUAGCUUUUUUGGUAAUUUGAUAACACCACAAGCAGUAAUCGUGUUUGAAAGCCAAAAACAUACAGAAUGUGUAAACUGUUUUGAUGUACUAUCAGUUUAGGAGCAAAGUAACCAUUAGUAAACAGUCUAGGAAAUCUGAAUGCAUCUGCACGUCAAUGUGAUCUUCUGUUCAUCCCUUGUACUGAUUCUAACAUUGAUGAGUUUUUGCGCACAAUGUUUUAAUGCUAGCUGUUGUAAGUAGUCACUGUGGUUUCAGCAUGAUGCUUGCUGUAUGGAGUUUGCAGUAUCAGUUUGACGCAUAAGCUUUUCGAAAUUAAUUCAACUUGACUGAAUUUUACAUUCCUCUCUUCUCUCAUGCUUAAAUUUCUUGCUUGUGUUUAGUAUGAUGCGCAAGAGAGUUGAUGCUCGCCGCGUUCCAACUCUGAGGGAUGUGCAUCCACACACGAAAUGGAGUUUAUGUCUCAGAGUAUACCAAAAAUUCCACAUUAAACGAAUUGGCUUUGGGAGGAAGAGACUAAACUUGGUCGUGUUGGACACAGAGGUAAAGCUCGGGACAUCUUUUUUUCCAAUAAUGAUUAACCAUUUUGUUUAUUCCUUGGAAUUUUAAGCUGAAAAUAGUAGGAGAAGUGCCUAAUUGCUAUAAAGAACAGAGUGGCAAAUACAUUAAAAAAAGACAGGGAGCACAAGAAAAAGUAUUCACCUUUGUACAUGGUCUGUAUGCUUUUCUCUGCAAACAAAAAAUCGUGUUUUAUGUUUCCGCUCAUUGAUUUCAGCAUGCCUGAAAACAGAUGCAACUUCACCUUCCUCUGGUACAAAACUGGAAAAGUAGGAAAUAAAUUUCUCGGUCUCAUUUCCCUGUACUUCACAGUAUUAAACACCACGUCCACCAAGAGUAACAUAUAAUUCCACAGCCUUGAUUGCAGCUUUAUCAGCUUCAUCCUUUUCAUUAAUUAAAAUGCAACAAGUUUGCUACUUCUAUGGCAGUCUAUCGACAAAAAUGCAACAAGUAAUUUUACGGAUGAAUAGAUGAUUGCUUUCACAUGAUAAAACUUUUGAAUUCUUUGGGUAUGUAUUUUCUAAAGAAAAAAGGUGGGAUUUCCACUAAGAGCCAUAAUAGUUCUGUUGAGGUCUUCUUGUUGUGUGUCACCACUUUUGGUCGAAUUCAAAAUUUACCUGCAAAUAAUUCAUUUGCAUGUGCAUGAACUUGUUUCAUAUGGUGCCUGAUGUUUCAUCUUGUUGCAGUGUUGAUUCUAUAUCUCGAGCAAAGCAGAUUCUUACCUCGAUGCCUGGAAGAGCAAGAGGAGCAUACGGCCAUAGCCACGUAAUCGUUGGUGAGGAUCAUGGAGAAGAUUCAUGGAUCAUUGGUGACAAAGGCAUAUUCUCUUUACAGGUGCCUCUGUUUCAUAUCACCCAAGCCGGAAAAUAUGAGGAUCUUCUCCAAGCGGGACCUGGGCUCAAUGCACCAAGAACAACAUCAACUGAAGCAACACUUCCUGUAUAUAUAUAAUGUAUUGUGAGCCUUGGAUCAUGUGAGGCUAAUGUAUUGUGAGCCUUUUACUUUGAACUGUGUGAUAAUGAUGCGUCGGAGUUAUGGAUUGUGGUUAGACCAAAUUUAUGUGACAAUUCUGUAAUGUGAGCCUCGAAUUUCUUUUCCAG